CUGUACAAGUUCCAGAACCACUACAACAGCAACAAUAUCAACCACAACAACAACAACAAGCUCAACAACAAGAACAACCGCAACAACAAUCACCUCCUCCAAACUAUCAACCACUUCAACUACUUCAAGACUAUCAGUCAUCCAGCCAAUCCUCACAUUACUCUCCCUACAACCCUCCUUACAAUUCACCACAACAAUCACCUCACCAAUCAUCAUACAAUUCUCCUCACCAAUCUCAACACCAAUCCCCUCCACAGUAUAACUUCUUCCCAGACCAACAAGCCUCCAUUCUUCCCUCUCAAUCUGAACCAACACCUUCACCUACACAUACACAUACCAUUCCUCAACCACAAUCAAC
rnacentral:lncRNA from 1 species